rnacentral:rRNA from 1 species
GGAGGAUCCGAGCGUUAUCCGGAUUUAUUGGGUUUAAAGGGAGCGUAGGCGGACGCUUAAGUCAGUUGUGAAAGUUUGCGGCUCAACCGUAAAAUUGCAGUUGAUACUGGGUGUCUUGAGUACAGUAGAGGCAGGCGGAAUUCGUGGUGUAGCGGUGAAAUGCUUAGAUAUCACGAAGAACUCCGAUUGCGAAGGCAGCCUGCUGGACUGUAACUGACGCUGAUGCUCGAAAGUGUGGGUAUCAAACAGGAUUAGAUACCCUGGUAGUCCACACAGUAAAAGGAGGAAUACUCGCUGUUUGCGAUAUACAGUAAGCGGCCAAGCGAAAGCGUUAAGUAUUCCACCUGGGGAGUACGCCGGCAACGGG